CAAAAAAAACAAAAGGAAAGAAAAAAACUGAUUUUGCUUCUGUGGUUGGAUAAAAAGUCUACAUGUUGAGAUAGCUAGUGAGUCCGAAAAUGACCUCAGAGUGAUAGUCUGCAAGUGAAAACUGAGUUAACUCUUUAUGUUAAUAGCAAUGAAGCAGUUUAAGACAGCUCAAGGAGCCAUCUCCCCACUGGGGAACCUUAGGAAAUGCCAGGGAAAGAAUCUCAUAUAAAGUAAAUUCCAAUGGUAUUGAUUGAAACCAAAGCAAAAGUAGUGCCCAGCUAGUAAACUGACCCAUAUCGUACCAGUGUAUAGUUCUAGGAAUUCAUUUACGUAGAAGAGACAAUACAUUUUAUUGUGUUUAUUUUGCUAUCUUUCUUGCAGAUUACCUGGUUAAUGUAGAUUAUCUUGGGCCCAGAAGCGACAGAAACCCUGAUUACAGCAGGAAAAUUUCUUGUGGAUAUGGUAAAUAGCUUAUAUAUAUUUUUAUUGUCAACCUCAAAUAUUUUCAUAAACACUUUUCAGAGUCUCCCAGACUCUGUUCUGGAUGGAUAUAGAAAGUUUUUUUGAUAACUUUCUUGUAAGAAAUGUCCACAGUGACAGAAAUUCAUCCCUACUGUUCAGUUCACCUGAGGCUGGUGGUUUACUACCUGAUUUUCCAAAUUCAGGUUUCCACAUUAAAAUAACUUGCUCCUUCUAUCUCUGGGGUUGUUUGAUGAGCAGAGCAGCAAGUGGUCUUCAAUUUGUGGCUGCCCACAUCCUGACCCUGAUAAUCUUUCUCGUUAGCAGACAGGGGUGCCUCUACUGACCUGUGCAUACAUUGCAGACUGAUGCUCUCUGAAAUCCACUCUUGAUGUCUGGUGAUUUUGAUAUCAAUGCAGGAAAUUGACUCCAGCCUUUAAACUGGCUGUACUUUGAGCCCUUACCUUAUUAAAAACGGGAUCUACCCAGAACUGGAAGAGUCCAAAUUCAGGAUAAAAAGUUGGCCAUUGAGUCUCACCCUGUUGUCCACCCUGGAGUACAAUGG